rnacentral:rRNA from 1 species
CAGCCGCCGCGGUAAUACGGAGGAUCCAAGCGUUAUCCGGAAUCAUUGGGUUUAAAGGGUCCGUAGGCGGUUUAGUAAGUCAGUGGUGAAAGCCCAUCGCUCAACGGUGGAACGGCCAUUGAUACUGCUGAACUUGAAUUAUUAGGAAGUAACUAGAAUAUGUAGUGUAGCGGUGAAAUGCUUAGAGAUUACAUGGAAUACCAAUUGCGAAGGCAGGUUACUACUAAUUGGUUGACGCUGAUGGACGAAAGCGUGGGGAGCGAACAGGAUUAGAUACCCCUGUAGUCCCUGUCUCUUAUAC